GCACCUGUAGCUUAAUUGGAUAGAGCACCUGACUACGGAUCAGGAGGUUAGGGGUUCGACUCCCUUCAGGUGCACCA
rnacentral:tRNA from 1 species